rnacentral:rRNA from 1 species
UACGUAGGGUGCGAGCGUUAAUCGGAAUUACUGGGCGUAAAGCGUACGCAGGCGGCUAAGCAAGACAGGUGUGAAAUCCCCGGGCUUAACCUGGGAACUGCAUUUGUGACUGCUUGGCUAGAGUCCGUUAGAGGGGGGUGGAAUUCCACGUGUAGCAGUGAAAUGCGUAGAGAUGUGGAGGAACACCGAUGGCGAAGGCAGUCCCCUGGGAUGAGACUGACGCUCAUGUACGAAAGCGUGGGGAGCAAACAGG